AAUAAUGAGAGAGCAACAAAGAAGAUGUACCCGCUGAAAGCUGUAGACAUUAUGCAUUCAACCCUAGCUCUCUAAAUGUUCUAAAAAGCUAGCAACAGUUUUUGCCCACGAUUUCAUUCAUGGCGCAAAUGUAUGCGCGAACAAAUAUAUACAUACAUAUAUGUAUAUAUUUAUGUAUGUGACAAAAAAACGAACGCUACGUACACCUAUCCCGGAAUUUCCGAAGCAGGCAGCCGAAGCACGAUUCGGCAUUGAAUACAAACACGUUUAUCGGAAGGAAGUUAGUGAGCGGAUAUCUAUAUUUUCUGAGCCAGUAGAUGCUGUUUUCCAUUCAAGCCAAACACCGUCGCUCAUUCAUUCAUAUGUGGCGCGCUGGAAAAGUUAAUAAUUCAUUCAUAACUCUAUCUAUACUAUACAAACGGAAGGGAACUGUAACUUAUUUAUUGUGUGCAAUCGCGGUGAACUUAAAAGUGAAUUGCAUGUAAUUCUUAGACUGUUGAAUUAAAUUUAGUCAAAAAAGUCGAUGUCUAUCAAGGGUGGAGUACGGUUCUCACCCCCCAGUUAAGUGUGUGCAAAUAUACUCGUGGACAAUAUCAAUAUAUAAAGAUAUAUAUCUACUCGAUGUUCUAUGCAUAAUAAGCACUUCUGGAUUUUAAUUAGAUAAUCAUCAGAAAUGCAUUGUUAUAAAAGUAUGAAUAAAUACAUA